rnacentral:rRNA from 1 species
UACGUAGGGUGCAAGCGUUGUCCGGAAUUAUUGGGCGUAAAGAGCUCGUAGGCGGUUUGUUGCGUCGACUGUGAAAUCCCGAGGCUCAACCUCGGGUCUGCAGUCGAUACGAGCAAACUAGAGUGUUGCAGGGGAGACUGGAAUUCCUGGUGUAGCGGUGAAAUGCGCAGAUAUCAGGAGGAACACCGAUGGCGAAGGCAGGUCUCUGGGCAUUAACUGACGCUGAGGAGCGAAAGCAUGGGGAGCGAACAGG